AUGAAGCUGAAAAGUAAUUUAGUUACUGGCCCAUCUAGAUAUCUCACAUCUUGGAGAAGCCCUGAAGAUCCUGCUGAAGGCGAGUUUACAAAAACGAUAGAUAUACAUGGUUUACCUCAAUUGGUUAAUUCAAAGGGAGCAAGAUUUCUAUAUAGAGCAGGCUCGUGGAAUGGAUUUCUUUUCAAUGGUGUUUCUUGGCAAAGAAUGCAUAGAAUCUUGAAUUUCUCAAUAGUGUUCACUGACAAAGAAUUCUCUUAUCAAUAUGAAACUAUGAGCAAUUCAAUUAUUACAAGAUUGGUGCUAGAUCCAUACGGAAAUUCACAGCGUUUUCUUUGGUCAAAUAAGUCACAAAUUUGGGAGGCUAUAGCUAGUGAUCCUAUAGACCAAUGUGAUAAUUAUGCCUUGUGUGGUAUCAACUCUAACUGCAAUAUUAAUGACUUUCCAGUAUGUGAAUGCUUGGAAGGUUUCAUACAAUUUCGACCGAAUUGGGAGUCAUCAAACUGGUCUGAUGGGUGUGUAAGGAAAACACAUUUAAACUGUCUCCGUGGAGAUGGAUUUUUGAAAUACACGAACAUGAAGUUGCCAGAUACGUCAUCAUCGUGGUUUGAC